rnacentral:rRNA from 1 species
UACAGAGGUCUCAAGCGUUGUUCGGAUUCAUUGGGCGUAAAGGGUGCGUAGGCGGCGCGGUAAGUCGGGUGUGAAAUUUCGAGGCUUAACUUCGAAACUGCAUUUCGAUACUCGCCGUGUGCUUGAGGGACUGGAGAGGAGACGUAGGUAAUUUGACGGUGUAGCGGUGAAAUGCGUAGAUAUCGUAAGGAAGACCAGUGGCGAAGGCGGGUCUCUGGACAGUUCCUGACGCUGAGGCACGAAGGCCAGGGGAGCAAAACGGGG